UUCGCCCUUAGAGUUUGAUCCUGGCUCAGAGCGAACGCUGGCGGCAGGCUUAACACAUGCAAGUCGAGCGGGCCCUUCGGGGUCAGCGGCAGACGGGUGAGUAACGCGUGGGAACGUGCCCUUCGGUUCGGAAUAACUCAGGGAAACUUGAGCUAAUACCGGAUACGUGCGAGAGCAGAAAGGUUUAUCUGCCGAAGGAUCGGCCCGCGUCUGAUUAGCUGGUUGGUGAGGUUAUGGCUAACCAAGGCGACGAUCAGUAGCUGGUCUAAGAGGAUGAUCAGCCACACUGGGACUGAGACACGGCCCAGACUCCUACGGGAGGCAGCAGAAGGG
rnacentral:rRNA from 1 species